AGAUCAUCGCACCCCCAGAGCGCAAGUACUCGGUGUGGAUCGGUGGCUCCAUCCUGGCCUCACUGUCCACCUUCCAGCAGAUGUGGAUUAGCAAGCAGGAGUACGACGAGUCGGGCCCCUCCAUCGUCCACCGCAAAUGCUUCUAAACGGACUCAGCAGAUGCGUAGCAUUUGCUGCAUGGGUUAAUUGAGAAUAGAAAUUUGCCCCUGGCAAAUGCACACACCUCAUGCUAGCCUCACGAAACUGGAAUAAGCCUUCGAAAAGAAAUUGUCCUUGAAGCUUGUAUCUGAUAUCAGCACUGGAUUGUAGAACUUGUUGCUGAUUUUGACCUUGUAUUGAAGUUAACUGUUCCCCUUGGGUAUUAACGUGUCAGGGCUGAGUGUUCUGGGAUUUCUCUAGAGGCUGGCAAGAACCAGUUGUUUUGUCUUGCGGGUCUGUCAGGGUUGGAAAGUCCAAGCCGUAGGACCCAGUUUCCUUUCUUAGCUGAUGUCUUUGGCCAGAACACCGUGGGCUGUUACUUGCUUUGAGUUGGAAGCGGUUUGCAUUUACGCCUGUAAAUGUAUUCAUUCUUAAUUUAUGUAAGGUUUUUUUUGUACGCAAUUCUCGAUUCUUUGAAGAGAUGACAACAAAUUUUGGUUUUCUACUGUUAUGUGAGAACAUUAGGCCCCAGCAACACGUCAUUGUGUAAGGAAAAAUAAAAGUGCUGCCGUAACC
rnacentral:lncRNA from 1 species